AAACCUCAAACCCAAAGCAUCCUUCGAUCCAUCGGAGCUUUGUUUUCGGACCAUGGGAGCAUGCGGGCAGCAACGUCGGCUCUCCUCAAAAGCAUUAGCUGUGGGUGUUGAGCCUUGCGCAACACAUGGCCUCGUUUGACGUCGUAAACGAUCGUCGUGGGCUGGAGGCACGCGCGGAUGGACUAGUCCCAUGCUUUGCAACCUUCUGCGGGACGACCGCAUGUAACCAAG
rnacentral:misc_RNA from 1 species